CCUACGGGAGGCAGCAGUGAGGAAUAUUGGUCAAUGGCCGAGAGGCUGAACCAGCCAAGUCGCGUGAGGGAAGAAUGUCCUAUGGAUUGUAAACCUCUUUUGUCAGGGAGCAAAGUCUCCCACGUGUGGGUGUUGGAAAGUACCUUAAGAAAAAGCAUUGGCUAACUCCGUGCCAGCAGCCGCGGUAAUACGGAGGAUGCGAGCGUUAUCCGGAUUUAUUGGGUUUAAAGGGUGCGUAGGCGGGUUAUCAAGGCAGCGGUUAAAUCGUGGGGCUCAACCCCAUCCCGGCAGUUGAAACGGUCGGUCUUGAGUGGGGUAGAGGUAGGCGGAAUGCGUGGUGUAGCGGUGAAAUGCAUAGAGAUCACGCAGAACUCCGAUUGCGAAGGCAGCUUACCGGACUCCGACUGACGCUGAAGCACGAAAGCGUGGGUAUCGAACAGGAUUAGAUACCCGAGUAGUC
rnacentral:rRNA from 1 species